GGGGGGGGGGGCAUUUUUAUCUGUAUUUAUUUAAAGGGGGGGCUUUUUAACCAGUCCUACAUUCUGAGGUGAGAUCACUCCAGAGGGACGUCUUACAGGGGGGGGUUCAUUUUGAGGGAGGGGGCGGGACAGGAGCAGGAUUGGGCAUCAGUGUGACGGACAGGUAGGUGGGCCUGUGGUACGCGUGCAGAGCUCUCCUGUUGGCUACACUCGUCUCUCUCCUCUCUCGUCCACGUGGGACCAUCAUCUGUUUCACACACUCACACAGACUUUAGGCUGAACACACACGCACGUACACACACACACACACACACACACACACACACACACACACACACACACACACUCACACAGACUUUAGGCUGAACACACACACACACACACACUCACACACACAGACACACACACACACACACACACACACGCACAGAGAGACACUCAGACUUUAGGCUGAACACACACGCACGUACACACAGACACACAACACACACACACACACACACACACACACAGACACACAACACACACACACACACACACACUCACACACACAGACACACACACACACGCACAGAGAGACACUCAGACUUUAGGCUGAACACACACACACGCACGUACACACACACACAGACACACACACACACACACACACGCACAGAGAGACACUCAGACUUUAGGCUGAACACACACGCACGUACACACAGACACACAACACACACACACACACACUCACACACACACACACACACACACACACAGACACAGACUUUAGGCUGAACACACACACACACACACACACACACACACACACACACACUCACACACACAGACUUUAGGCUGGCUUUCUCAGUGCUACAACACUGGGAUUGGAAGACAUUUCUGUCCUUUUACUUCAAAGUACUUUUAUUCUUCUUUAUUCUCCGCUCACCCUGUUUCCUGGUACGCCGCCCCCUGUGGCUUGUGGUUAUUCUCGUGGCACAAAUGUAUAAAAAAUUAACGGUACUUCUUAACCAAAUUGAGCUUGCCUGGCAACUUUUUAAUCAUCGUACGUUCCCGACGACACGUUUGCUGUAUCAAGUGCUUUCUCACACACACCCCGGCUAAUGUCAGCCGCGUGGCGUGGAGAAGCAUGCAGAAAGCACACACACAGAGUAUAUAUAUCUUACAUGACGACAAGUCAAGCGAGGCCUGUAUAUGCUUAGAGGACUAUUUUACUGUAAUCAAAUGUAACUCGGGUAAUAUUAUCGUUUUACACGUGUGUUUUAUUCAUCAGAAAAUAAUCUUUUCACGCUUCUGCUGCGCCUGAGAUGAAGAGUAUUAUUUUCUCGAGCGCUGGCUGUGUGUCUGUCGAGCGGGUGUGUGUUAUGUAUCGCUGACAGCAUGGAGCUGUGUGGGCCUCGACCCCAGUGCUCGUCUUCCAGACGAGGAAGACUCGAUUCUAACGCUACAAAACUGCUUACUUCCUGGAACUGCUUUUUUGACCGAGCUCAGCUUGCGUUGUGAAAGUGAACUGGUUCUUGUGCUGUGUGUGUGUGUGUGUGUGUGUGUGUGUGUGUGUGUGUGUGUGUGUGUGUGUUUUGCGCUUGUGUGUUAAGGUACAUUGUGUUGAUACUGACUGUAUAUGAUAAAGGUACGUCAUCCGUGCACCAAACCUGUCAUAUUUUGUACCUUCGCUGUUUCUGUCGUUUGGAUUUGAGGUUUAUUCUGUAAAGUCGGGUUUUGUUAGGUUUUUUUUCUACUAAUGAAAUUUGAGUAUGAGAGUGUUGUUAUUUGACCUUUGACCUUUGAGUUCGAGCAGCAUCAGGUAGGGCUGAGAUAAGAGUCCAGACCCGAUCAGCUGAGAUAAGACUGAGAUAAGAAACCCUGCAGAUGAGAUAUCCAGACCUGAUCAGCCGAGAUAAGAGUGGGGAACCUGCAGAUGAGAUAUCCAGACCUGAUCAGCUGAGAUAAGAAGUCGGGGGGAAAACCCUGCAGUUGAGAGUCCAGACCCGAUCAGCUGCUGGACGAGAGAUAGAUGCUUCCCCAAGGGCGGAAUACACCGUAGGGUUCAUGACCUUUACAAGGGGAUGAGACGGACAGACAGAGGGACAGACAGAGGGACAGACAGAGGGACAGGGGGGGGGACAGACAGAGGGACAGACAGAGGG
ensembl:lncRNA